GCCAUGCAGUUUUAAAAAAUCUUUAAAAUGCAGGACAUGCAUUUUAAUUUUUUUGUUUGGGGAAUUUUGCUUGUUUGCAAAAAUACAUUUUGCACGCAGUGGAGAACCAUGGGCUGCAUUCCAAACUACUUCUUCGAUCCCUCGCAGCAGAGUAAGAUUUGUCUUCCAUGAACACGGUUUUAGCAGUGAGUCUGUGACUGUGGAGGCCAAUUCUGGAUCCCCACGUCCUUCCACAGUGGGGACACUGGUUUCCAGGCGGGAGUUGAUCCCAGUGAGGGUUUGCCAAGCGUGCCUUCCUCUUGGCACGUUUCUCCCUCGCGUCCUGAGUUCGAGUGUCAUCAGAGCUUUUGGUAAAGUUUGUUCUCCAAUUGGAGCGCUCGCAGGCCAGUGUUUCCCAGUUGCCGGUGUUUAUACUACAUUUUUAAAGAUCUGCCUUGAGACUGUCUUUAAACCAACCUUACUGUAUGCUUGUGAAACAUGGACCACUUAUAAACGCCAUCUCCAACUCCUUGAACGGUUCCAUCAAUGGUGUCUCCGAAAUAUUUUACACAUCACUUGCGAACUAAUGCCAGUGUAUAAAGAUCUCCAGUGUCGAAGCGAUGAUUCUUCAACAUCAACUUCGUUGAACUGGUCAUGUUGUGUGGAUGCCUGAUUAUCGUCUUCCAAAGCAACUACUCUAUUCCGAACUUAAAAAUGGAAAGCGUAAUGCUGGUGGUCAACAAAAGAGGUUGAAAGACUGUCUCAAGGCAAAUCUUAAAAAAUGUAGUAUAAGGCAAAUUGAUGGACAGGGUUAAUACUGAUGUGCUACAGCCAACUUUUCCCCAUUGAAAGUCGUCUCACUAUAGUCUAGCACCUUUCCCUCUUCACCACCAGAAACUUAAAAAAAAAAGAGAUGUGUUUAAGACUUGC